CCUGAAUACGUUCAAAGCCAUGGUAUGCUAGGCAAGGUAUAAACACAAAGAAAGUCUGUACCUGAGAGCUUAGAGACAAAUACGACAAAGCAGAAGGAAAAGAGGAAAUUGUUACCCUUACUUUACAGAGUCUUAGAAAGAUUGAUGUGACUUGCCCAAACUCCUGUAGAAACUCUGGGGAAUUGAACAGAGACCACUGGAGUCUCAACACAAAAUCUUAAUUACUGAAUCCAAUUUUCCACUCUUCCUUUCACAUGGCUUUUUCAUACAUUAAAACACUUCACAUAAGCUUCACUUCUUUUCUCCCAGGAGGAAUAGCAAAGGCUGCAAGUUGCCCUUGUUAAACUAGGUUGCAGAUCCAAACAAAUUUAAAAUGAUAUCUCAGCAAGAUUUUGCAACCUGCCUGUGACAAAUAAAAGGACUUUCACCCUGAAAAUGCGUGAGCACUGGGGAAGACUAGCUGAGAGAAUUUAGCAAGACUCUUAAUGAAAGAGCCGAGCUACAGUAUGUAUAUGCAUGAGCUCAUGUAUUAUUAAAACCAUUAUGAUCAGAAUAAGCGUUGUGAGCACAGUACUGAAAGUGUCACUAGCAUUCAUGCAUCGAAUAACUUGCCCUCAUAAAGGAAGGAGAAGAUUUAUGGGAAUUAAGAACAAGGCUCAGGAAACUUGGAUGUAGUGACCAGCUCUGUAGGCGGCCUUCUGAGGGAUCCUAAACAACGAUUCUUCAGCCAGAACCUGACAAGUGUGGACACUUUUUCUGGGCUUAAGCACUCUUUAUAUUGCUACUGAAUGAUUUCUCUCUGCACCAGCUGCAUAACCUCAGUCACCAUCAUAAGAACUGCAAGAAAGGACAGCUGAGGAGCAGGAACAUCAGGAAGAGAUCAAGGACUAAGACUACUGAACUAUGAGAUUAAUUUCAUCUAAAUCUGAUAUUUUCCAGGAAUCAUUCUUUUACAAUUCAUUUUUGGGUCCUAUUGACUUCAAAAUUGUGACAAGUUAACUUCUACAAUUGAAUGAAAGCUGGAGGUAUUCAACACCUGAACGUUCACUCUACUACCAUGCAAAAAUGUAAAAGCACAGAGAAAGCACAGAUGAACUGUAUGACUGAGAGAAUUAAGAGACCCACCUUUGUUUUCCCAUUUCUUAAGAACAUAAAGAAUUGACCAGUUUCAGUUCUCUGAGAGUCAGUAAUUCAAUAAAAUGUUACAUACUUCUUAAUAUGCAGGCAAGUCAGAAAUCAAUGGCAGGGUAAAACUUUAAAAAGUUAAUGAAUUAUUUAGGGCUCUCUCUUAACUGAGCAUUUUUUCAGGCAUGUUUUUGAGUAGCUAAGUGGAUUUGGAGACCUAGUUAUUUUUCUAAUACAGUCUCUGCCAUUAGCUCUUCAUCUGCCUAAAGUCUAACUAGCUACAGCUAAGAGUGAAGGCUGAAGACUUAACAUAGUGAGUCAUGAUGGCUUAACAAGUUACCACCUGUCUCCUCAGCUGACAUCACUGUCCAUCACUUUUUCCCCCCUGAAGUCAAGGCAAAAUGCAUGAGACUCAACCCCAUUCAUUACCACUUAAGCUAGGAAAUCUAAUUCUUCAGGCAAUCUCAGAGCACGCACCCAUGUAGUUACAGAGGCUUAGUAAAUACAUAAUAGCUUUAAUGAGCUUCUGUAACACAAUUCAAGACAAUGGCCUUACUAAACACAGAAUGGCAUUCUAUUUCAGCAGUUUAGCUCUUCGAAUCUGCUCUGCAAGUUCUCACCCUGCUUUUCCUUAAGCAAAGCCAAUACGAAGCUGCCCUUGAUAAAGAAGUGUUGUUCUGGACAUAUGCUCAUUUCUCAUCCUGUACAGAGAGAGACAUAGGAAGGGAAGAAACCCCAAUAUCAACAUUGUAGCUAAAUUAGAUACGGUUACACUUAUAUAACUCUUAGUGCUGGUUAUUUUAUCCCCCAUUUCUUUUAAAUGUCUCUUGCCACAAGCUCAUUUUGCCCGAUAUAAGCAGCUUCUCUGCUAGGAAAUGUAUUGGUAUAAUUUACAAAACUAUUUCUGCAUCACAAAAGCUAGCAUAGACUGGGUCUUGGUAAAUAAAAUAGAACUUACGGUCAGCUUUUCUAAAGAGCUCAGCACAUAAUAGCUCACUUCACUGUAUGCUUUUGAAAGCUGGACUGCAUUAAGGUGUCUUUAUGGGAUCAGGGUUUGAAAUAACUCAAAUCCAGUAUUUACUCUGAGGGUGCCUUAGCUCAAGAAUAGAGACCUUGGCUUUUCCAGGGAGGGAGGGAGAAGUAAUGAAGGGUAAGGAGGGAAGUGAAAGGUGAGAUUGCCCUUUUUCCCCCAUAUGCUUUUUGUUUUUUUCCACAUGUAUUCCUGAAGGAUGUAGAGGAAAAAAAGCAGAGCAGGUCUGCAUUGUCAGGAAGCAGACGAUCCAAGAUAAAGCAGAUUACUUUUUUUUCCCCCCCCUCAAACAUCAAGACGCUCAGGGAGGUCCUGUCCUUGCCUUAAACACCGCCUUCUCUACUGCUGUGAAAAUAGCUAUAUGCUACCCCUUGAUUAGAGAGCAAUCUCUAUCCCUUAAAAAGAGAUGGGUCAUCCCUUACUGGAACAGCACAAAGUAAAUCAAGAAGGGCUGACUUAAUUGCUGAAGAUUUGGUACAAAUUCCCACCUGUUCUGACUCAAGGGCUUGUGAAAUACCACCGAAGCUUUUUUUUUUUGUAAAAAUAAGAUACUUUUCCAUAUUGUAGCUGCCCUGUUAACCUUAUAAUCCUAUCCCCUUUUCAUACAGCAGAUGUGUCGUGGCCAUCUUCAUUUUGAUCUGGACUUGCAAAAGGCUUCAGUUCAUCUAUAACUUGAUGCUGUCAGUGCUGCUUGUUGCUGUAGUAACAAAGUAGUAUAUAUACCUUCAAGAAUCAUUGUUACAGAACUGCUG
rnacentral:lncRNA from 1 species